AACGAACGCUGGCGGCAUGCCUAACACAUGCAAGUCGAACGGAGCCUUCGGGCUUAGUGGCGCACGGGUGCGUAACGCGUGGGAAUCAGCCCCUUGCUUCGGUAUCCCAGUUAGAAAUGACUGCUCAUAACGGAUGAAGUAUUCGGACCAAAGAUCUAUUGGCAAGGGAUGAGGCCGCGUAAGUUUGGGUAGUUGGUGGUGUAAAGGCCUGCCAAGACGACGAUCCUUAGCUGGUCGGGGAGGAUGAUAAGCAACACUGGGGCUGAGACACGGCCCAGACUCGGACGCAAGGCAGCAGAAGGUUGUAUUGGGCGAGGGACGCAAGUCUGAUCCAGCAAUGCCGCGGGAGUGAGGCAGGCCUUAGUGUUGUAAAGCUCUUUUACAAGGGAUGAUAAUGACGGUACCGGGAGAAUAAGCACCGGCUAACUCCGUG
rnacentral:rRNA from 1 species